UACUAUGGCUCAGUGGUUAGAGCAUAGGCCUCGUAACCGAAAGGUCGCGGGAUCGAAGCCCGCUAGAG
rnacentral:tRNA from 1 species